rnacentral:rRNA from 1 species
AUGAAAAAAUUAAUAUAAAAUAUAAAUUAAUAAAAAUAAUUUUUUUUAAAAAAAAAUUGAGUAUUAUUUAAAGAAAAAUUAAAAAGUUUUAUAGUGAAAAAGUAUUGAAAAAGAAUUUUGAAAUAUUUUAAAAAUUUAAUUAAAAAAAAGUAAAUUUAAUUUAUUGUAUCUUGUGUAUCAGAGUUUAUCUAUAAAUAAUUAAUAAUUUAAUUUUCUCGAAUUAAAAAGAUCUAAUUAAUUAUAAUUUUUAUUGUUGAAAAAAUAUUUUUAAUAAUUAAUUUGAAAUGAAAUGUUAUUCGUUUUUUAAGAUAUCUAGUUUUUUUAUAAAUAAAUUUAAUUUAAUGUUUAAUUAAUUAAAUAAUUUUUUAAAAAAAUUAUUUAAAAUUAAAUUUUUAUAUUUUAAGGGAUAAGCUUUAAAAAUAAAUUUUUAUAAUAAUAAUAAUGGAUAAAUAUUAAAAUUUUUAAAAUUUAUAUUUUUUAAAAAAUUUAAUUUGUUAUAAAUAAUUUUAAUAAGAAAUAAAAUUUAAAUUAUUAUUUAAUUUUUUAUAAAAAAAUAUUUUUUAAUUAAAAAAAAUUAAUUAUAAUGAUAAAAUUAGUAUAUAAUAAUAUAAAAAUUGUAAUUUUUAUUUAAAUUUAUAAAAAGGAAUUCGACAAAAGUAUAUUUUUACCUGUUUAUCAAAAACAUGUUUUUUUGAAUUUAAUUUAAAAUCCAUUCUGCCCACUGAAUAAUUUUAAAGGGCUGCAGUAUAUUGACUGUACAAAGGUAGCAUAAUCAAUAGUCUUUUAAUUGAAGACUGGAAUGAAUGAAUAGAUAAAAAAUAAAUUGUCUCUUUAUAAAAAAUAUAAUUUAAUUUUUAAGUUAAAAAGCUUAAAUGUUUUUAAAAGACGAGAAGACCCUAUAGAGUUUUAUAAAUUUUAUUAUUAAAAUUAUUUAUAAAAAAAAAAUUGAAAUAAAUAAAUUUAUUUUAUUGGGGUGAUAGAAAAAUUUAUUUAACUUUUUUUUAUAAUAUAUACAUAAAUAAGUGAUUAGAUGAUCCAAAAUUUUUGAUUAAAAGAUUAAAUUACCUUAGGGAUAACAGCGUAAUUUUUUUUUUUAGUUCAAAUAAGAAAAAAAGUUUGCGACCUCGAUGUUGGAUUAAGAUAAAAUUUAAAUGCAAAAGUUUAAAAUUUUGAUCUGUUCGAUCAUUAAAAUCUUACAUGAUCUGAGUUCAAACCGGUGUGAGCCAGGUUGGUUUCUAUCUUUAAAUUAAUAAUAUAUUUUAGUACGAAAGGAUCAAAUAUAUAAAAUAAUUUUAUAAUUUUGAAUAUUAAUAAUUUAUGUUUAAAUAUAUAUAUAUAUAUAUAUAA